rnacentral:rRNA from 1 species
GAUGAACGCUGGCGGCGUGCUUAAUACAUGCAAGUCGAACGGACAGGCCAUGCGCUUGUGGCGUGCUCGUUAGGCGAACGGGUGAGUAUAACGUGUGUAUCAUGUCCUUGUAUUUGGGAUAAAUUUUGGAAACACGGGCUCUAACCGGGUAGGAUCUCUUGCUCCAUAGUGGGGGAUAGUAAGAUUCGGUGGUUGGGGAUGGUAUCGAAGCUUAUCAGCUUGUUGGUGGGGUAGUGGCUUACAAAGGCUGUGACGGGUAGCCGGCCUGAGAGGGGUACCGGCCACAUGGGGACUGAGAUACGGCGCAGACUCCUACGGGAGGCAGCAGUGGGGAAUAUUGCACAAUGGGCGGGAGCCUGAUGCAGCAACGCCGCGUGCGGGAUGACGGCCUUCGGGGUGUAAACCGCUUUCGCCUGUGACGAAGCGUGAGUGACGGUAAUGGGUAAAGAAGCACCGGCUAACUACGUG